rnacentral:rRNA from 1 species
GAGGAAUAUUGGACAAUGGGCGCAAGCCUGAUCCAGCCAUGCCGCGUGCAGGAAGACGGCCCUAUGGGUUGUAAACUGCUUUUGUACGGGAAGAAACACCACUACGCGUAGUGGCUUGACGGUACCGUAAGAAUAAGGAUCGGCUAACUCCGUGCCAGCAGCCGCGGUAAUACGGAGGAUCCAAGCGUUAUCCGGAGUCAUUGGGUUUAAAGGGUCCGUAGGUGGACGAUUAAGUCAGGGGUGAAAUCUUGCAGCUCAACUGUAAAAUUGCCCUUGAUACUGGUUGUCUUGAAUCAUUGUGAAGUGGUUAGAAUAUGUAGUGUAGCGGUGAAAUGCAUAGAUAUUACAUAGAAUACCGAUUGCGAAGGCAGAUCACUAACGGUGCAUUGACACUGAUGGACGAAAGCGUGGGGAGCGAAC